CCUCAGAUGAUCCACCGACUUCAGCCUAUGAAAUUGCUGAGAUUACAGGCCCAUCUGAGCCCUCAGAUGAUUCAGCCCUGGAUGACAACUAGACUGCAACUUGGUGAGAGGCCCUGAGUCCGAAGCUCACAGAGAAACCUCUCCUGGAUUCCUGACCAUUGGAAACUGUGAGAGCUGCGACCUGAACCCGAACUGGAGCCUCCUCCGCGAGUAUGAACAUAACCUCCGAGGGAGCCAGUUACCUAGUCCUAAACCAGGAACUGCGCUCUUGGACCCCAGAGGACAAGGCGGCUCAGAUGCCCUGGCAGAGGAACAUGCAGAGCUGCUGAAAACCUACCUGCAGAGAAGGUGGCCGGAGCGGCUCAACAAAGGUCUUAAGAAUGGGAAGGAGACGCUGCAGU